CAGUAGCCGCGGUAAAACGAACCGUGCGAACGUUAUUCGGAAUUACUGGGCUUAAAGCGCGUGUAGGCGGGCCGCCACGUCGGUUGCUGAAAUCCCCCGGCUCAACCGGGGAAGUGGCAUCGAUACGAGCGGCCUUGAGGGGGGUAGGGGGAUCUGGAACUUCCGGUGGAGCGGUGAAAUGCGUUGAGAUCGGAAGGAACGCCCGUGGCGAAAGCGAGGUCCUGGACCCUUUCUGACGCUGAGACGCGAAAGCCAGGGGAGCGAACGGGAUUAGAUACCCCCGUAGUCCCUGUCUCUUAUA
rnacentral:rRNA from 1 species